AGCAGUAGCCACGGUAAAACGUAGGUGGCAAGCGUUGUCCGGAAUUAUUGGGCGUAAAGCGCGCGCAGGUGGUUUAAUAAGUCUGAUGUGAAAGCCCACGGCUCAACCGUGGAGGGUCAUUGGAAACUAUUAAACUUGAGUGCAGGAGAGGAGAGUGGAAUUCCACGUGUAGCGGUGAAAUGCGUAGAGAUGUGGAGGAACACCAGUGGCGAAAGCGGCUCUCUGGCUUGUAACUGACGCUGAGGCUCGAAAGCGUGGGGAGCAAACAGGAUUAGAUACCCGUGUAGUCCCUGUCUCUUAUAC
rnacentral:rRNA from 1 species